AUUGAACGCUGGCGGCAGGCCUAACCCAUGCAAGUCGAGCGAGCGGCGGACGGGUGAGUAAUGUUUGGGAAACUGCCUGAUGGAGGGGGAUAACUACUGGAAACGGUAGCUAAUACCGCAUACCAUCAGAUGUGCCCAGAUGGGAUUAGCUAGUUGGUGGGGUAAAGGCCUACCAAGGCGACGAUCUGUAGCGGGUCUGAGAGGAUGAUCCGACAAAGUGGGACUGAGACACGGCCCAGACUCCUACGUGAGGCAGAAGUGGGGAAUAUUGGACAAUGGGGGGAGCCCUGAUCCAGCCGUGCCGCGUGUGUGAAGAAGGCCUUAUGGUUGUAAAGCACUUUAAGCGCGGAGGCGUUACUCGCAGAAUAAGCACCGGCUAACUCCGUGCCAGCCGCCGCGGUAAUUC
rnacentral:rRNA from 1 species